GUCCACGCCCUAAACGAUGUCAACUGGUUGUUGGGAAUUCACUUUCUCAGUAACGAAGCUAACGCGUGAAGUUGACCGCCUGGGGAGUACGGCCGCAAGGUUAAAACUCAAAGGAAUUGACGGGGACCCGCACAAGCGGUGGAUGAUGUGGUUUAAUUCGAUGCAACGCGAAAAACCUUACCCACCUUUGACAUGUACGGAAUCCUUUAGAGAUAGAGGAGUGCUCGAAAGAGAACCGUAACACAGGUGCUGCAUGGCU
rnacentral:rRNA from 1 species